rnacentral:rRNA from 1 species
CAAUAGCGUAUAUUAAAGUUGUUGCAGUUAAAAAGCUCGUAGUUGGAUUUGUGGCGUACGGUGUGUUCCGGGCACUUGUUGUCUGAGUAACCUGCUGUUGCCAUCCUUGGGUGGAACCUGUGUGGCAUUAGGUUGUCGUGCAGGGGAUGCCCAUCAUUUACUGUGAAAAAAUUAGAGUGUUCAAAGCAGGCUUAUGCCGUUGAAUAUAUUAGCAUGGAAUAAUGAGAUAGGACUUUUUUGCUAUUUUGUUGGUUUGCGCAAGAAGGUAAUGAUUAAUAGGGACAGUUGGGGGUAUUCGUAUUCCAUUGUCAGAGGUGAAAUUCUUGGAUUUUUGGAAGACGAACUACUGCGAAAGCAUUCACCAAGGAUGUUUUCAUUAA